rnacentral:rRNA from 1 species
UUUUAACUGCGGCGGUACUCUGACCGUGCAUAGGUGGAAAUCAGUUGCCUUAUAAUUGAAGGCUAUAAAGAAUGGUUUGACAAGAAUACAACUGUCUCUUUACAAUUACAUAAAAUUUUAUCUGCAGUUGAAAAAGCCUGCAUUUGAAUAAAAUACAAUAACACCCUAUCGAGCUUAAAAAAAACUGGUGGAAUAACAAACUUAAUCCUAACUUAUAAAUAAAUAAAUACUCAACUACUGGAAAUUUUGGUUGGGGCGACCGGGGAACAAAUCAAACUUCCUUUAUAAAAAUUUAUAUGCCCAAAUAUUGAUCCGGCAUUAUAUGAUUAAAGAAAUUAAUUACCGUAUGGAUAACAACAUUAUCUUUUUUAAUAAUUCUUACCAAAAAAAAUGUUUGUGACCUCGAUGUUGGACCAAAAUAUCCUAAAUAUGCUUCCUUCUUUAAGGGUUGGUCUGUUC